rnacentral:rRNA from 1 species
AGAGUUUGAUCCUGGCUCAGGAUGAACGCUAGCGGCAGGCUUAACACAUGCAAGUCGAGGGGCAGCAUACCCAGCAAUGGGUGAUGGCGACCGGCGGAAGGGUGCGUAACGCGUGAGCAACAUACCCUAUACAGGGGGAUAAGCCAGGGAAACUUGGUCUAAUAUCCCAUAGGAAAUAGAUAAGGCAUCUUGUUUAUUUUAAAGCUUCGGUGGUAUAGGAUUGGCUCGCGUGACAUUAGCUAGAUGGAGGGGUAACGGCCCACCAUGGCAAUGAUGUCUAGGGGUUCUGAGAGGAAGAUCCCCCACACUGGGACUGAGACACGGCCCAGACUCCUACGGGAGGCAGCAGUGGGGAAUUUUGGACAAUGGACGCAAGCCUGAUCCAGCCAUGCCGCGUGAGUGAAGAAGGCCUUCGGGUUGUAAAGCUCUUUCGGACAGAAAGAAAUCGCACAGGCUAAUACUCUGUGUGGAUGACGGUACUGUAAGAAGAAGCACCGGCUAACUACGUGCCAGCCGCCGCGGU